CCUACGGGAGGCAGCAGUGAGGAAUAUUGGUCAAUGGCCGGAAGGCUGAACCAGCCAAGCCGCGUGAAGGACGAAGGUGCCAAGCAUUGUAAACUUCUUUUGUCAAGGGACAAAAUCAGGCUCGAGAGCCUGACCGAGGGUACUUGAAGAAAAAGCAUCGGCUAACUCCGUGCCAGCAGCCGCGGUAAUACGGAGGAUGCGAGCGUUAUCCGGAUUUAUUGGGUUUAACGGGUGCGUAGGCGGGCUGUUAAGUCAGUGGUAAAAGCCCGGGGCUAAACCCCGGCGAGCCGUUGAAACUGGCUGUCUUGAGAUGUCGAGAGGUAUGCGGAAUGCGCAGUGUAGCGGUGAAAUGCUUAGAUAUUGCGCAGAACUCCGAUUGCGAAGGCAGCAUGCCGGCUCCAAACUGACGCUGAGGCACGAAAGCGUGGGGAUCGAACAGGAUUAGAUACCCGGGUAGUC
rnacentral:rRNA from 1 species